rnacentral:rRNA from 1 species
CGCCUCACCGCGAGUACUGGUCCGGCUGGACCUUUCCUUCUGGGGAACCCCAUGGCCUUCACUGGCUGUGGGGGGAACCAGGACUUUUACUGUGAAAAAAUUAGAGUGUUCAAAGCAGGCCUUUGCUCGAAUACAUUAGCAUGGAAUAAUAGAAUAGGACGUGCGGUUCUAUUUUGUUGGUUUCUAGGACCGCCGUAAUGAUUAAUAGGGAUAGUCGGGGGCGUCAGUAUUCAGCUGUCAGAGGUGAAAUUCUUGGAUUUGCUGAAGACUAACUACUGCGAAAGCAUUCGCCAAGGAUGUUUUCAUUAAUCAGGGAACGAAAGUUAGGGGAUCGAAGACGAUCAGAUACCGUCGUAGUCUUAACCAUAAACUAUGCCGACUAGGGAUCGGACGGUGUUUCUAUUAUGACCCGUUCGGCACCUUACGAGAAAUCAAAGUUUUUGGGUUCUGGGGGGAGUAUGGUCGCAAGGCUGAAACUUAAAGAAAUUGACGGA